GCUGUGAUCCCAUCCAAGGGACUCUCGUGGAGUCGUGUGGUAUAUACAGUAGUAGACCGUACCUUAGCCCCAACACAAGCGGCCGGGAGCGAGGAGGGAUCGAUCGAUCGGAGAUGGUGCAGAAACAUCUCCUCAAGCUGCUCAUCAUGGCUUUCGUCCUCAUCUCUGCUUUCUCGGCUGUCUCCGUGCAGGGAGGGAGAAGAUAUGAUUCAAAUGAUCCUGUCGGAAGGCCUUCUGCCGAUGCAAGCGGCCAGCCCUAUAUUGGCCGCGGAUGUCGCUAUAUGUACCACUACCAGUGCAACCCACCUGCUGCAGCACCAUAAGUUACGAGCAAGUCUAUUCGAUUACCAGUUAAAACCAGACGGCAUCAUGAAGAAUAUCAACAUAAUACUAUAAUACUGGAUAACUAUAUGUAGGUGCUUUUAAUUUAAACUAGACCUGUAAGGUCUCGAACUCUUUUGUUGCGCGCAUUCAAAAUUAGUACUCCUUCAGUUUAUUAAUAUAAGGCGUUUUAGCAAGCUAA